UACGUAGGGUGCGAGCGUUGUCCGGAAUUAUUGGGCGUAAAGAGCUCGUAGGCGGUGUGUCGCGUCGGCCGUGAAAACCUGCAGCUUAACUGUGGGCUUGCGGUCGAUACGGGCAUCACUGGAGUUCGGCAGGGGAGACUGGAAUUCCUGGUGUAGCGGUGAAAUGCGCAGAUAUCAGGAGGAACACCGGUGGCGAAGGCGGUUACCUGGAGCUUUGCUGACGCUGAUGCGCGAAAGCGUGGGGAGCAAACAGG
rnacentral:rRNA from 1 species